rnacentral:rRNA from 2 species
GCUGGCGGCGUGCCUAAUACAUGCAAGUCGAGCGAACAGAUAAGGAGCUUGCUCCUUUGACGUUAGCGGCGGACGGGUGAGUAACACGUGGGUAACCUACCUAUAAGACUGGGAUAACUUCGGGAAACCGGAGCUAAUACCGGAUAACAUUUGGAACCGCAUGGUUCUAAAGUGAAAGAUGGUUUUGCUAUCACUUAUAGAUGGACCCGCGCCGUAUUAGCUAGUUGGUAAGGUAACGGCUUACCAAGGCGACGAUACGUAGCCGACCUGAGAGGGUGAUCGGCCACACUGGAACUGAGACACGGUCCAGACUCCUACGGGAGGCAGCAGUAGGGAAUCUUCCGCAAUGGGCGAAAGCCUGACGGAGCAACGCCGCGUGAGUGAUGAAGGGUUUCGGCUCGUAAAACUCUGUUAUUAGGGAAGAACAAANUGUGUAAGUAAC